rnacentral:rRNA from 1 species
AGCGAACGCUGGCGGCAGGCCUAAUACAUGCAAGUCGAACGAAGCCUUCGGGCUUAGUGGCGGACGGGUGAGUAACACGUGGGAACGUACCCUUUGGUUCGGAACAACUCAGGGAAACUUGAGCUAAUACCGAAUGUGCCCCCAUCCUUAACAAGAUGGGUGGGAAAGAUUUAUCGCCAUUGGAGCGGCCCGCGUCUGAUUAGCUAGUUGGUGAGGUAAAGGCCCACCAAGGCUACGAUCAGUAGCUGGUCUGAGAGGAUGAUCAGCCACACUGGGACUGAGACACGGCCCAGACUCCUACGGGAGCAGCAGUAGGGAAUCUUGCGCAAUGGGCGAAAGCCUGACGC